rnacentral:rRNA from 1 species
AAUCCUAGUCAAUAGACCUACGGCGUAAAACGUGUUUAAGGAGACUUACCCCAUAAAGCCAAGCCUUAGCUACGCUGUAAAAAGCCACAGCUACUGUAAGCUCUACCACGAAAGUGACUUUAAACAACCUGAACACACGACAGCUAAGACCCAAACUGGGAUUAGAUACCCCACUAUGCUUAGCCAUAAACCUAAAGAAUCAACCUAACAAGAUUCUUCGCCAGAGUACUACUAGCCAAAGCCUAAAACUCAAGGGACUUGGCGGUGCUUCACAUCCUUCUAGAGGAGCCUGUUCUAUAAUCGAUAAACCCCGAUAAACCUCACCAACCCUUGCCAACU